rnacentral:rRNA from 1 species
UUCAGGAUGACAGCCCUACGGGUUGUCAACUGCUUUUAUACAGGAAGAAACACUCCGACGUGUCGGAGCUUGACGGUACUGUAAGAAUAAGGAUCGGCUAACUCCGUGCCAGCAGCCGCGGUAAUACGGAGGAUCCAAGCGUUAUCCGGAAUCAUUGGGUUUAAAGGGUCCGCAGGCUGUUUUUUAAGUCAGAGGUGAAAUCCUGCAGCUCAACUGUAGAACUGCCUUUGAUACUGGAAAACUUGAGUUAUUGUGAAGUGGUUAGAAUGUGUGGUGUAGCGGUGAAAUGCAUAGAUAUCACACAGAAUACCGAUUGCGAAGGCAGAUCACUAACAAUAUACUGACGCUCAUGGACGAAAGCGUGGGGAGCGAACAGGAUUAGAUACCCUGGUAGUCCACGCCGUAAACGAUGGAUACUAGCUGUUCGUCUAACAUUGGUUAGAUGAGUGGCUAAGCGAAAGUGAUAAGUAUCCCACCUGGGGAGUACGGUCGCAAGACUGAAACUCAAAGGAAUUGACGGGGGCCCGCA